CCAUCAUGGUAUGAAAAUUAGCAAUGGCCACAAUUACCCAGAACUUGAAAAGCUGGAAGAGCACUCAUCUUUGUGCAUUGGCCGUCCCCAUUUAAGGAUUUAUCUCUUGACUUGCAAAACACUCCAAUAAGCACUGUCUGCUACAGGGGUGCUGUUGCCUGCAGUAAGAGUAGGGCAAACAAGGUAGAGCAAAAUGAUCUGCUAACAUCCUGCAAGAGGUCUGUGGCAGAUCUAUGGCAGACUUGGGUCCCCAGAGCCUGCUGAAAGCAUUGCAGUUUCUAUCAGGCUGCUGGUUUUGGACUGUGGGACCUGACCUGGGCUUUACCUCCUGUCUCCUGCUUCUGGCUUGGCCAAUGGAAAUGGGUCCAUGAAGAAACCCAGUUACCCUCACCGAGCAGCUGUUAAAUUUCCGUAUCUUCAAGAAGGAAUUAGCUUAGCUUCUGACACAAAAUUUUGAUAAGGACUGGAGAAAUAGGCAGGGUAGGAGAAGAAGCAGAGUUUCUGGGGACGAGGGCUCUUAGUGGCACCCAUGCAACCAUUAAAGUUCUUAAACUCAGCAUGGAGGCUGAAGUUAUACCAAGCCUUGAAGCUGAUCUUAUUUCUAUCCAGAACCUAGAGCAGAGCAGAGGAAGAGGAGCAGAAGGCAGGAGAGAGACAAGCCUUAUGACCAAGUGGCAAAGUUCACUCAUCACUUUAAAGUCUAAAGCUGUGCUUCAAGAAAUGAAAGCAGAGCCCAGGCAAAAUAAACACAACAGAGCUUACCUGGGAAAAAACCUGACUGGAAACCGGCAAAACCAAAACACUUUAAGAGCUAAAGAAAUGUAAAAAUAAACUCUCCAUAUUUUUUAUUAAUAUAUUAAGAGUUUAAAGUCUGUAAAACCAUUUGUAACCAUGUGAAAGGAGCAAAGUAUGAGAUAAAAAUGCACUGUGAGGCUGCUAAAUAAUGUCCUUGUCUCUGUACUGCUGCAGGAUGUGAUGGGGUGGCAUCUGCAUCCAGCCUCCUUGGAGCAAUGGACUGAAGUACUGUCCAGAGGGGGUGUGAAAGGAGGACACACAAGCUCAAACUGAUAAAUAAAACAGAAAAAACCUCCCAUGAUGUUUCUGCUGCUCAUGCUGCCGGUAUCAACUCCAUUAACACAACCAUUUUCUUUUCUCCUUCGGACAUUAUGGCCUUGUUUCAUCUGGUAAACGUGUUACACCUUCUGGCCAAUAAUUACUUACAUGGCCAUUUCUUUCUUCCUCAAGAACUAGAAAUUUUCACAACCCAGUGUUAUCACAGAUUUAUUAUUUACUGGUAACAGCAUAUUUAAAAUCCAAAAAGAAGGAACUGAGUCACAAAGAAGAGCAAUUUGAUACUACCUUCAGGCUUGGGAGAGAGUCAGUUCUGUAAAUCAGGAAUACAGUCUAAUAGAAUAUAGAGAAAAAGGCUGAUUCUGAGUCUGCCCAGGUGCUCUCCGGCCAUGGAAAGUCACAGGACAGCUCUGCUCUUCACCACCUCCUAAGGAUUCCCAGAUCAUAUUCCAACUCCCAGAACAUUAAAAGGGAGGCAACAAAGAUCACUACACAAAUGGCUGGUCAUUAGUUCAAUCUAUCAAACAACCAGAGACAAGAACUACAAUUACACCAGUGAAUAUAAAAACUGUAUGGAAAUGCCAUCCUUUUCACACUGCAGGCUAUGAAACAGGCAACAGCUGUGACAAGGAAAAACAUUCCCUUCCUCAUCACUGGGGAUUUAAAAGACCGAGUUAGACAAGAAUCUGCCUGGUGAAGGCAAAGCCAGUCCUGCCCUGGGGCAGAGGGUAGCCUGAAUGACUUAGAAACAAUGAUAUCCAAGCCGUUUGCUACAGUCAUAAAGGUGCAACACUUCCCCAUUGCAGUACUGACUGUCCAGCAGUCUGUCUGCUGGCAGAUGAGAUCAUGGUUACUACAGUAACCACGGUGGUUUUCUUUUCUAAGGGAGAGACAGAGGAGGUUUUUUCCGUCAAACUGUAAGUAUGCUCAACUCAAAUGCUUAAAAGCCUGCUGCUGCCAGGCUCUGCAGAUUAGCCCUGAACCAGACAGUAAGAGCAAAGUUUGGUCCAUGUGUGGGCACUGGUGGCAUCCUCAGUACAGAGCUGAGCACUGCUCUCCCAAGAACUUUGGGGGAAAUUUUUUUUUAAAAAAUGCCCC